rnacentral:rRNA from 1 species
UUUAUUGGAGAGUUUGAUCCUGGCUCAGGAUGAACGCUGGCGGCGUGCCUAAUACAUGCAAGUCGAGCGAAUGGAUUAAGAGCUUGCUCUUAUGAAGUUAGCGGCGGACGGGUGAGUAACACGUGGGUAACCUGCCCAUAAGACUGGGAUAACUCCGGGAAACCGGGGCUAAUACCGGAUAAYAUUUUGAACYGCAUGGUUCGAAAUUGAAAGGYGGCUUCGGCUGUCACUUAUGGAUGGACCCGCGUCGCAUUAGCUAGUUGGUGAGGUAACGGCUCACCAAGGCAACGAUGCGUAGCCGACCUGAGAGGGUGAUCGGCCACACUGGGACUGAGACACGGCCCAGACUCCUACGGGAGGCAGCAGUAGGGAAUCUUCCGCAAUGGACGAAAGUCUGACGGAGCAACGCCGCGUGAGUGAUGAAGGCUUUCGGGUCGUAAAACUCUGUUGUUAGGGAAGAACAAGUGCUAGUUGAAUAAGCUGGCACCUUGACGGUACCUAACCAGAAAGCCAC